AGAGUUUGAUCAUGGCUCAGAGCGAACGUUAGCGGCGGGCUUAACACAUGCAAGUCGAACGCGAAAGGGCUUCGGCCCCGGUAGCGUGGCGUCCGGGUGAGUAACACGUAGGGAAUCUACCCUUGAGUGGGGGAUAACGUUCCGAAAGGGACGCUAAUACCGCAUAAGACCACGUCGGCUCCGGCCGAUGCGGUCAAAGAUGGCCUCUGUAUACAUGCUAUCGCUCGAGGAUGACUCUGCGGCGCAUCAGCUAGUUGGUGGGGUAAUGGCCCACCAAGGCGAAGACGCGUAGCUGGUCUGAGAGGAUGAUCAGCCACACUGGCACUGAAACACGGGCCAGACUCCUACGGGAGGCAGCAGUGGGGAAUAUUGGUCAAUGGGCGCAAGCCUGAACCAGCCACGCCGCGUGAGUGAUGAAGGCCUUCGGGUUGUAAAGCUCUGUGGGGAGGGAAGAAAACGUCGGGUAAGAAACGACCCGGCCUUGACGGUACCUCCUUAGCAAGCACCGGCUAACUCUGUGCCAGCCGCCGCGGUAAUAC
rnacentral:rRNA from 1 species